AACCCACCAAUUCCGGACACAUCAUCAUCUAACUAAAUUCAAGUGAGAAUGAGGCUCUUUGAUUAUGGUUCUGGCAAUGCAGACACCCUCCUCCAAAUUCUGUGUCUUACAGUCUGGAGCACUACGAACUACAAAGAAAAGUGCCUCUGUAAGAUAAGACAAGAAGACAACACAGAAGAGGAGAGUCCUUCUCAAGGUGCUGCUCACUCCUCAGUCCUUUAAUCCAGAAUUUUCUCAUUCAAAACACCCAAUUCUGGAAGCCAGGAAGUUCAAGAUCAAGAUGCCAAAACGUUUGAUUUCUGGUGAAGGCUCACUUCCUGAUUUGUAGACAACUGUCUUCUCACUGUAUUCUCACAUGGCAUAGAAAGCUGAGAGCUCUGGUCUCUUCCUGUUUUCAGAAGGACUCUAAUUUCAUCACAGCAGCUUUAUCCUCAUGGCUUUAUCUAUGCCUAAUAACCUCCAAAAACCCCUCCUGCAAAUACCAACACAUCAAGGGUUAGGACUUCAACAUACACAUGUUGACCAGAGAAACAAACAUUUAGCCUAUAACAAUGAUUUGGAUUUAUUUAUGGAGAAGGAAGCUAUAGAAGAAUAACUAAAAUGCAUAAAGGCAAAUUGAAUGUUCAAAGGGUAAGCAUGGGUCUGAUUGUUAAUAUCACUAUUAGCUCAGCUACAAAUGAGCAUCUGGAGCAAUAGCAUCUCUCUAGGUUUGAAGAGGUGAGCGGCGGUGCCUCAGCGAUCUCCUCUGCAGCAUAGGAAAUGAUGGCUGUUUCUUUCCGCUGGAAGCAUGGCCACGAAAGCCCUCCUCUGAAAGUGCUCUUGCUGUACUGACUUUGCUUGUCAACAAUGUGGCACUCCUCACUUAACAGACACUCCCUACAUCAGUAUUGGGUGUCCUCUGAAGGAAAACUGAAUCUUCCCCACCUCACUUUCCUCUUUAUGCCAUAACUGAGUUCCGGAAUGUGAAAGCCUACACUGCUGGAUCUGCUGUGUGGACUUGACCCUGACCAGGGAGCUCCAAAAACCGGUGAUGAUAACAUGAUGUAAUUGAGAGUGAAAGGAAGGCAACUGAGAGGAUAAGAGAACGUAAACAAGAGAGCUGAAACCUGCAGCAUGCAAUACUGAGAGGUGAAGGCAGCUGGACUUCCUGGGUGAGUGGGGACUUGGAGAACUUUUCUGUCUAGCUAAAGGUUUGUAAACGCACCAAUCAGCAAUCUGUAAAAAUGCAUCCAUCUGCGCUCUGUGUCUAGCUAAAGGUUUGUAAACGCUCCAAUCAGCACUCUGUAAAAACUGACCAAUCAGCGAUCUGUAAAACGGACCAGUCAGUGCUCUGUAAAAUGGACCAAUCAGCAGGACGUGGGCAGGGCCAAAUAAGGGAAUAAACGCUGGCCACCCGAGCCCACGGAGGCAACCCACUUGGGUGCUACUCCACGCUGUGGAAGUUUUGUU
rnacentral:lncRNA from 1 species